rnacentral:rRNA from 1 species
GUGCCAGCAGCCGCGGUAAUACGUAGGGGGCAAGCGUUGUCCGGAUUUAUUGGGCGUAAAGAGCGUGUAGGCGGCCAUGUAGGUCCGUUGUGAAAACUCGAGGCUCAACCUCGAGACGCCGAUGGAAACCAUGUGGCUAGAGUCCGGAAGAGGAGAGUGGAAUUCCUGGUGUAGCGGUGAAAUGCGCAGAUAUCAGGAAGAACACCCGUGGCUAAGGCGGCUCUCUAGUACGGUACUGACGCUGAGACGCGAAAGCGUGGGGAGCGAACAGGAUUAGAUACCCCCGUAGUCC